GCCGCUAUAGCUCAGUCAGGUAGAGCAGCUGCCUUGUAAGCAGUUGGCCCAGGGUUCAAAUCCUUGUGGCGGCACCA
rnacentral:tRNA from 1 species